UACAGAGGGUGCGAGCGUUAAUCGGAAUUACUGGGCGUAAAGGGCGCGUAGGCGGUUUAUUAAGUUGGAUGUGAAAUGCCCGGGCUUAACCUGGGAGUGGCAUCUGAUACUGAUAAGCUAGAGUGUUGGAGAGGGGAGUGGAAUUUCCAGUGUAGCGGUGAAAUGCGUAGAUAUCAGGAGGAACACCUGCGGUGUAGACGGCUUUCUGGACCAUUGCUGACGCUGAGACACGAAAGCGUGGGUAGCAAACAGG
rnacentral:rRNA from 1 species